CAUAUAGAUUUUCUCUCAACAUGACAGUAGUACAUCCCUACUAUGACUACAUAAUAAAAUUAUUUUCAAGAUAUUCAGCUUCCGUAUAUCUUAAUGGUACAUGGGUGACCAAGACUACAAUAUACUUUCAUGAUUUGGCCAGAGCCCUUUGACUUUAUUAUUCUGAUAAUCAAAAUAGUUUCCUUAUGAAGAAGUAUUCUUGCCAACUAACCUAACCACAUAUUUGAAACAUCAGAUGUUAAUAGGUUGGCUGAUAUUUUAUCUUUUGUGAAAUUUGCCUUACCUUAAAGGUUUUCCACUUUAAAGGUCACAAAAGAGGUUUGCUUUGAUGAAGAAAUGUUUCACUAACAAAGGGCUCUGAAAGAAUGUUGGCCUCAGUUAAAGUGAAGGUAUGAAUGGUGGCAGGCCAAGAAAACAACUGAAUAUUAGUUUCUUGAUUCCAAAGGUUUAAUAUUUUCAUUUAUAAUAAAUGAGUAACAAUGAUAAAAAUUUUUUCCCAGAAAUAAAAACAAUGGAAUAUAUUAUGGGAAGUGUUACAAGGGAAUGUCUCCUCUCUUAACAA
rnacentral:lncRNA from 1 species